AUAGUUUAGUUUUUUAUUUUCUUUUGCUUUCUUUCCCCAUACGGAGAAAUCAGAGUAAUCUCAGAUUCAAUCCGCUUAGCUUCCUCAAAUUCUCAGAUUUGAUCUCUAGCCACCGUCGAAUGAAGCCUCACCACCACACUCCUUUUGACACCGUCGCUCGUUACCACUACCAGCAGCAGCAGCUCAUCUCUCUCUCCCUGCAUCACGCUGCAAUCUGGUUCAGUUAAAGUCUUUUUGCUUAGACAACAAUCAAGUGAAACAUGUAGAGCAAUUGAAACGUGGUUUUGCAGAUAUCGCUGACGACGUCUACGAGAUUCUCCAUGGAAGGGUAUGGGCCGGUCACAAUAUAUUGAGGGUUUGAUAUACCAAGGAUAAGAGAAGGGUUUGCAGAGAUUGGACGUGAUCCACCAGAGCCAAAAGGCACCAUUGACUCGUUGGUGUUUCUUACUCAAAAGAUUGGGAGGAGAGCUGGUGAUAUGAACUUGGUUUUAUUCUGCAACCUCAAAGAACAAGCUUGUGAUUGUGAUGUUGUGUGUAACAUAACAAUGGUGUAAAUGUAUGUAGAUGGUAUUGCUGCACAUUGAAGACUGUCCUGAUAAAGAGCCUCUUCGCCAUGGGUUCUAUGCAGGCUCCACUAUGGCCACAAGGAUAACAAUACCAAAUUUCAUCACCAAGUUUAUCUGUUAUAUUUUGCAAUGAGUUUAUUAUUUGCAAUUUGGUUUUCGGUGUCCCAAGAAUACUAACUAUGAUAAUGAUACCCAUUUACAGAUUUUAUUUAUUUAUCAGAACAUGUCUAUGUAAGGAAUAUUUAUUUAACUAUGAUAAUUGCCAAAAAUACCAUUUUCAAA